ACGGAAGGCAGCAGUGGGGAAUAUUGCACAAUGGGGGAAACCCUGAUGCAGCGACGCCGCGUGGGUGAUGAAGUAUUUCGGUACGUAAAGCCCUAUCAGCAGGGAAGAUAAUGACGGUACCUGACUAAGAAGCCCCGGCUAAAUACGUGCCAGCAGCCGCGGUAAUACGUAUGGGGCAAGCGUUAUCCGGAUUUACUGGGUGUAAAGGGAGCGCAGGCGGUUUAGUAAGUUGAGUGUGAAAACCCGGGGCUCAACCCCGGGACUGCACCCAAAACUGCCAAACUAGAGUGUCGGAGGGGCAAGCGGAAUUCCUAGUGUAGCGGUGAAAUGCGUAGAUAUUAGGAGGAACACCGGUGGCGAAGGCGGCUUGCUGGACGAUAACUGACGCUGAGGCUCGAAAGCGUGGGGAGCAAACAGGAUUAGAUACCCUGGUA
rnacentral:rRNA from 1 species